rnacentral:tRNA from 1 species
ACGGCCUUUCACGCCGUCAACGGGGGUUCGAAUCCCCCUGGGGACGCCA